CACUAUCGUUAACUGAAUACAUAGGUUAACGAGGCGAACCGGGGGAACUGAAACAUCUAAGUACCCCGAGGAAAAGAAAUCAACCGAGAUUCCCCCAGUAGCGGCGAGCGAACGGGGAGCAGCCCAGAGUCUGAAUCAGCUUGUGUGUUAGUGGAACGGUCUGGAAAGUCCGACGGUACAGGGUGAUAGUCCCGUACACCAAAAUGCACAGGCUGUGAACUCGAAGAGUAGGGCGGGACACGUGGUAUCCUGUCUGAAUAUGGGGGGACCAUCCUCCAAGGCUAAAUACUCCUGACUGACCGAUAGUGAACCAGUACCGUGAGGGAAAGGCGAAAAGAACCCCGGCGAGGGGAGUGAAAAAGAACCUGAAACCGUGUACGUACAAGCAGUGGGAGCACCUUCGGGUGUGACUGCGUACCUUUUGUAUAAUGGGUCAGCGACUUAUAUUCUGUAGCAAGGUUAACCGUAUAGGGGAGCCGCAGGGAAACCGAGUCUUAACUGGGCGUUAAGUUGCAGGGUAUAGACCCGAAACCCGGUGAUCUAGCCAUGGGCAGGUUGAAGGUUGGGUAACACUAACUGGAGGACCGAACCGACUAAUGUUGAAAAAUUAGCGGAUGACUUGUGGCUGGGGGUGAAAGGCCAAUCAAACCGGGAGAUAGCUGGUUCUCCCCGAAAGCUAUUUAGGUAGCGCCUCGUGAAUUCAUCUUCGGGGGUAGAGCACUGUUUCGGCUAGGGGGUCAUCCCGACUUACCAACCCGAUGCAAACUACGAAUACCGAAGAAUGUUAUCACGGGAGACACACGGCGGGUGCUAACGUCCGUCGUGAAGAGGGAAACAACCCAGACCGCCAGCUAAGGUCCCAAAGUCAUGGUUAAGUGGGAAACGAUGUGGGAAGGCACAGACAGCCAGGAUGUUGGCUUAGAAGCAGCCAUCAUUUAAAGAAAGCGUAAUAGCUCACUGGUCGAGUCGGCCUGCGCGGAAGAUGUAACGGGGCUAAACCAUGCACCGAAGCUGCGGCAGCGACACUAUGUGUUGUUGGGUAGGGGAGCGUUCUGUAAGCCUGCGAAGGUGACCUGUGAGGGUUGCUGGAGGUAUCAGAAGUGCGAAUGCUGACAUAAGUAACGAUAAAGCGGGUGAAAAGCCCGCUCGCCGGAAGACCAAGGGUUCCUGUCCAACGUUAAUCGGGGCAGGGUGAGUCGACCCCUAAGGCGAGGCCGAAAGGCGUAGUCGAUGGGAAACAGGUUAAUAUUCCUGUACUUGGUGUUACUGCGAAGGGGGGACGGAGAAGGCUAUGUUAGCCGGGCGACGGUUGUCCCGGUUUAAGCAUGUAGGCUGGUUGUCCAGGCAAAUCCGGAUAAUCAAGGCUGAGGUGUGAUGACGAGGUACUACGGUGCUGAAGUAACAAAUGCCCUGCUUCCAGGAAAAGCCUCUAAGCAUCAGGUAACAUCAAAUCGUACCCCAAACCGACACAGGUGGUCAGGUAGAGAAUACCAAGGCGCUUGAGAGAACUCGGGUGAAGGAACUAGGCAAAAUGGUGCCGUAACUUCGGGAGAAGGCACGCUGGUGUGUAGGUGAAGUCCCUGCGGAUGGAGCUGAGACCAGUCGAAGAUACCAGCUGGCUGCAACUGUUUAUUAAAAACACAGCACUGUGCAAACACGAAAGUGGACGUAUACGGUGUGACGCCUGCCCGGUGCCGGAAGGUUAAUUGAUGGGGUUAUCCGUAAGGAGAAGCUCUUGAUCGAAGCCCCGGUAAACGGCGGCCGUAACUAUAACGGUCCUAAGGUAGCGAAAUUCCUUGUCGGGUAAGUUCCGACCUGCACGAAUGGCGUAAUGAUGGCCAGGCUGUCUCCACCCGAGACUCAGUGAAAUUGAACUCGCUGUGAAGAUGCAGUGUACCCGCGGCAAGACGGAAAGACCCCGUGAACCUUUACUAUAGCUUGACACUGAACAUUGAGCCUUGAUGUGUAGGAUAGGUGGGAGGCUUUGAAGCGUGGACGCCAGUCUGCGUGGAGCCAACCUUGAAAUACCACCCUUUAAUGUUUGAUGUUCUAACGUUGGCCCCUUAUCGGGGUUGCGGACAGUGUCUGGUGGGUAGUUUGACUGGGGCGGUCUCCUCCCAAAGCGUAACGGAGGAGCACGAAGGUUAGCUAAUCCUGGUCGGACAUCAGGAGGUUAGUGCAAUGGCAUAAGCUAGCUUGACUGCGAGCGUGACGGCGCGAGCAGGUGCGAAAGCAGGUCAUAGUGAUCCGGUGGUUCUGAAUGGAAGGGCCAUCGCUCAACGGAUAAAAGGUACUCCGGGGAUAACAGGCUGAUACCGCCCAAGAGUUCAUAUCGACGGCGGUGUUUGGCACCUCGAUGUCGGCUCAUCACAUCCUGGGGCUGAAGUAGGUCCCAAGGGUAUGGCUGUUCGCCAUUUAAAGUGGUACGCGAGCUGGGUUUAGAACGUCGUGAGACAGUUCGGUCCCUAUCUGCCGUGGGCGCUGGAGAAUUGAGGGGGGCUGCUCCUAGUACGAGAGGACCGGAGUGGACGCAUCACUGGUGUUCGGGUUGUCAUGCCAAUGGCACUGCCCGGUAGCUAAAUGCGGAAGAGAUAAGUGCUGAAAGCAUCUAAGCACGAAACUUGCCCCGAGAUGAGUUCUCCCUGAGACUUUAAGUCUCCUGAAGGAACGUUGAAGACGACGACGUUGAUAGGCCGGGUGUGUAAGCGCAGCGAUGCGUUGAGCUAACCGGUACUAAUGAACCGUGAGGCUUAACCUU
rnacentral:rRNA from 1 species